rnacentral:lncRNA from 1 species
GCUGGAAUUGUCCAAACGCAAAAUAGUCCAAAUCAGGACAAUUUAGUCCAGGAAAAAAAAACCACCACAGAAAUGCAUUUUUAUGUGUGAAUUCUCAGAACGGAAAANGCCCUGGAAUCUGAUUAAAUGUUGUGUCUGACUGCAGCCUACGUUACUUUAUUUUUUUAUUCCAUUGGUUCUUCUCCCAGACAGAGACGCCGUGUCAUGGCUGCUCAGGUGGCCCUGCGCAGGCAGCAGGAGAUAGAGUUGCGAGAGCAAUUGGCCAGUGGUUUGCUGCAGCUGCCAGAAAACUGCCCAUCAAAUUCUCUCCACCCAGCCAAACCACUCAAAGGGAUGAAAUCAUGCAGGGGCGGAAUAGGCAAGAAGGAGAAUGAAGAACCCUUGAAAGAUUCUGAAGAUGGACUCAGAGGGACNGCAGGCCUUCUGCGACGUCAAAAGCGGAGAGCUGCCAGAAAAGAGAGUUCCUGGCUGGCUGUACCUCACUGCUCUAAAAUGACGGAACUGCCCUGGGUAUUUGGACAUCAUCCACCACACACCGCUUGGUUCCCAGCUCCAUUCCCUAUGCCCCCUGCACCAUUUUGCCCAUUCUUACCCCAGGACCAUUCGUUUCACCUUCAAGGCAUGAGAGGUUGUGAUGAUAAUGACACUUUGUAUGCGCCUGACAGUUAUAUGACAGCUUCAGGCCAGAUGCUCCAGCAGACUCCGGGCACCUCCUGGCACCUACCUGCAACUGCUGACCUGUCCAGCCGCCUGGCCUUGAACCCUCUGAGCGGCAACAUGGACUUGAGCAGACGUCCGAAGGCUGCACCACUGGGAGCUCAGCCUCAUCUGCUCACGUUCCAGUGUGGCCUACCAGGGGGUUUAUCUUCUCGCCCCUUUCCGAGCAACAGCUGCAGA